rnacentral:rRNA from 1 species
AUUGAACGCUGGCGGCAGGCCUAACACAUGCAAGUCGAACGAGUGGCGGACGGGUGAGUAAUGUCUGGGAAACUGCCUGAUGGAGGGGGAUAACUACUGGAAACGGUAGCUAAUACCGCAUACCAUCGGAUGUUCCCAGAUGGGCUUGGCUAGUAGGUGGGUUAAAGGCUCACCAAGGCGACGCUCCCUAGCUGGUCUGAGAGGAUGACCAGCCACACUGGAACUGAGACACGGUCAAGACGCCUACGGGAGGCAUCAGUGGGGAUUAUUGCACAAUGGGCGAAAGCCUGAUGCAGCCAUGCCGCGUGUGGGAAGAAGGCCUUCGGGUUGUAAAGUACGUUCAGCGGGGAGGCGUUACCCGCAGAAGAAGCACCGGCGAACUCCGUGCCAGCAGCCGCGGUAAUAC